AACGCGAAGAACCUUACCUACCCUUGACAUCCACAGGAUCCUGCAGAGAUGCGGGAGUGCCGAAAGGAACUGUGAGACAGGUGCUGCAUGGCUGUCGUCAGCUCGUGUUGUGAGAUGUUGGGUUAAGUCCCGUAACGAGCGCAACCCUUAUCCUUAGUUGCCAACAUGUAAUGGUGGGGACUCUAAGGAGACUGCUGGUGAUGAACCGGAGGAAGGCGGGGACGACGUCAAGUCAUCAUGGCCUUUAUGGGUAGGGCCACACACGUGCUACAAUGGGGCGUACAGAGGGAAGCCAACCUGCGAAGGGGAGCCAAUCCCAGAAAGCGCCUCGUAGUCCGGAUUGAAGUCUGCAACUCGACUUCAUGAAGUCGGAAUCGCUAGUAAUCGCGAAUCAGAACGUCGCGGUGAAUACGUUCCCGGGCCUUGUACACACCGAUACUC
rnacentral:rRNA from 1 species